rnacentral:rRNA from 1 species
UACGUAGGUGGCAAGCGUUGUCCGGAAUUAUUGGGCGUAAAGCGCGCGCAGGCGGUCCUUUAAGUCUGAUGUGAAAUCUCGUGGCUUAACCACGAGCGGUCAUUGGAAACUGGGGGACUUGAGUACAGAAGAGGAGAGUGGAAUUCCACGUGUAGCGGUGAAAUGCGUAGAGAUGUGGAGGAACACCAGUGGCGAAGGCGGCUCUCUGGUCUGUGACUGACGCUGAGGUGCGAAAGCGUGGGUAGCGAACAGG